rnacentral:rRNA from 1 species
CACAUCGUAUGAACGUAAUAGCUCACACAUCGAGCGGACAGAUGGGAGCUUGCUCCCUGAUGUUAGCGGCGGACGGGUGAGUAACACGUGGGUAACCUGCCUGUAAGACUGGGAUAACUCCGGGAAACCGGGGCUAAUACCGGAUGGUUGUUUGAACCGCAUGGUUCAGACAUAAAAGGUGGCUUCGGCUACCACUUACAGAUGGACCCGCGGCGCAUUAGCUAGUUGGUGAGGUAACGGCUCACCAAGGCGACGAUGCGUAGCCGACCUGAGAGGGUGAUCGGCCACACUGGGACUGAGACACGGCCCAGACUCCUACGGGAGGCAGCAGUAGGGAAUCUUCCGCAAUGGACGAAAGUCUGACGGAGCAACGCCGCGUGAGUGAUGAAGGUUUUCGGAUCGUAAAGCUCUGUUGUUAGGGAAGAACAAGUGCCGUUCGAAUAGGGCGGCACCUUGACGGUACCUAACCAGAAAGCCACGGCUAACUACGUGCCAGCAGCCGCGGUAAUACGUAGGUGGCAAGCGUUGUCCGGAAUUAUUGGGCGUAAAGGGCUCGCAGGCGGUUUCUUAAGUCUGAUGUGAAAGCCCCCGGCUCAACCGGGGAGGGUCAUUGGAAACUGGGGAACUUGAGUGCAGAAGAGGAGAGUGGAAUUCCACGUGUAGCGGUGAAAUGCGUAGAGAUGUGGAGGAACACCAGUGGCGAAGGCGACUCUCUGGUCUGUAACUGACGCUGAGGAGCGAAAGCGUGGGGAGCGAACAGGAUUAGAUACCCUGGUAGUCCACGCCGUAAACGAUGAGUGCUAAGUGUUAGGGGGUUUCCGCCCCUUAGUGCUGCAGCUAACGCAUUAAGCACUCCGCCUGGGGAGUACGGUCGCAAGACUGAAACUCAAGGAAUUGACGGGGCCCGCACAAGCGGUGGAGCAUGUGGUUUAUUCGAAGCACGCGAAGAC